CCUACGGGCGGCAGCAGUGGGGAAUAUUGCACAAUGGGGGAAACCCUGAUGCAGCGACGCCGCGUGAGUGAAGAAGUAUUUCGGUACGUAAAGCUCUAUCAGCAGGGAAGAAAAUGACGGUACCUGACUAAGAAGCCCCGGCUAACUACGUGCCAGCAGCCGCGGUAAUACGUAGGGGGCAAGCGUUAUCCGGAUUUACUGGGUGUAAAGGGAGCGUAGACGGCAGCGCAAGUCUGGAGUGAAAUCCCAUGGCUUAACCAUGGAACUGCUUUGGAAACUGUGCAGCUAGAGUGCAGGUGAGGGAAGCGGAAUUCCUAGUGUAGCGGUGAAAUGCGUAGAUAUUAGGAGGAACACCAGUGGCGAAGGCGGCUUACUGGACUGUAACUGACGUUGAGGCUCGAAAGCGUGGGGAGCAAACAGGAUUAGAUACCCCAGUAGUC
rnacentral:rRNA from 1 species